rnacentral:rRNA from 1 species
GGUAGCCGUACCGGAAGGUGCGGCUGGAUCACCUCCUUUCUAAGGAGCACCUGACA